rnacentral:lncRNA from 1 species
GGGUCUCUUUGUGCACCCGCCCACACGGUUUGCCGUGUUUUCACCCUUCUUUGUUCUCCACCGGUCUGGGCAGGGUCUGAGGACUCCGGAGAGCAAGGCAUGGGUCCGCCUCGUGCCGCAGGUUCCUGGCCCACGCCAGCCGUACCCAGUAGCACAAUGGUAAGCGCAUGCUGGCGAGAGGUAGGCGGUGUGAGGAGGGGCUGGUUUCGGGGAGAGGACAGUAAUGAUGAUUUCUGGUGAUUCUGAGUGUCUCGCUGACGCCAUCACCGCAGCGCGCUGACCGUCCCCGGGUCCAAAAUCGGCAGUGGCGUGGGUUUUGAGUGGCCUAGAGUUCUGAGUAAUUUACCUCUGUGUCUUGCUUUCUGGUAGGGAUUUGAGGACACACGCCAGCUGCCUACACCUGAAGAAAGGGUGAGCUCUGAGGACUUCACAGGGGCCCCAUCCCCUCACCUAGAUGAGGGCUAACCUUGGAAUCCAGACAAAGGUGGAAGUGACCUAGAUGUGACCUGAAUGAGCUAAUCAUCUAAUGAGAGCCAGCCCUUUGUCCUGCCCACAUGAAGGGCUUUGCUGCUACGCACUGACAAGUUGGACGGCUUUUUAUUGCUUUGUUGCCAGUUAUCUGAACAUGAGAGGCUGUAAGGUGUAAUCUGCGAGCCCUGCGCCCAGACUGAACCAGGGCCUCCCUUGAACAUGAGUAUUAGACAAAUGAAAUAAGAACUUAUCUUGCCCAGACUAUAUAAUGGCUUGGAAAUGCAUAGUUUCCUGAACGAUCUCAAUAAAAUACUUUUAAAAGUACUUAAAUAGA